rnacentral:rRNA from 1 species
AACCAACAUUUAUGCACUCAUGUGAGACAGGGCCUUCCCCUUCGGGGGACAGAGUGACAGGUGGUGCAUGGUUGUCGUCAGCUCGUGUCGUGAGAUGUUGGGUUAAGUCCCGCAACGAGCGCAACCCUUGACCUUAGUUGCCAGCAUUCAGUUGGGCACUCUAAGGUGACUGCCGGUGACAAACCGGAGGAAGGUGGGGAUGACGUCAAAUCAUCAUGCCCCUUAUGACCUGGGCUACACACGUGCUACAAUGGAUGGUACAAAGGGCUGCGAGACCGCGAGGUUGAGCCAAUCCCAAAAAACCAUUCUCAGUUCGGAUUGCAGGCUGCAACUCGCCUGCAUGAAGCCGGAAUCGCUAGUAAUCGCGGAUCAGCAUGCCGCGGUGAAUACGUUCCCGGGCCUUGUACACACCGCCCGU